GGCAAGUCUGGUGCCAGCAGCCGCGGUAAUUCCAGCUCCAAUAGCGUAUAUUAAACUUGUUGCAGUUAAAAAGCUCGUAGUUGUAUUUUUGCGUUGACGGUUUGACCAUUUGGUUGGUUAUUUCGUUUUCGCUUUUGGGAAUUUCCCUUUUUACUUUGAGAAAAUUAGAGUGUUUCAAGCAGACUUUUGUCUUGAAUACUUCAGCAUGGAAUAAUAGAGUAGGACUUUGGUUCUAUUUUGUUGGUUAUUGAACCUUAGUAAUGGUUAAUAGGAACGGUUGGGGGCAUUCGUAUUUAACUGUCAGAGGUGAAAUUCUUAGAUUUGUUAAAGACGAACUACUGCGAAAGCAUUUGCCAAGGACGUUUCCAUUAAUCAAGAACGAAAGUUAGGGGAUCGAAGACGAUCAGAUACCGUCGUAGUCCUAACCAUAAACU
rnacentral:rRNA from 1 species